rnacentral:rRNA from 1 species
UACAGAGGGUGCGAGCGUUGUCCGGAAUCACUGGGCGUAAAGGGCGCGUAGGCGGUCUGCUAAGCGUGUGGUGAAAGCUCGGGGCUCAACCCCGAGUCGGCCGUGCGAACUGGUAGACUGGAGCAGAUCAGAGGCAGGCGGAAUUCCGGGUGUAGCGGUGGAAUGCGUAGAGAUCCGGAAGAACACCGGUGGCGAAGGCGGCCUGCUGGAUCUUGCUGACGCUGAGGCGUGACAGCGUGGGGAGCAAACAGG